rnacentral:rRNA from 1 species
AGCGAACGCUGGCGGCGUGCCUAACACAUGCAAGUCGAACGUGAAAGGGAGCAAUCCCAAGUAAAGUGGCGUACGGGUGAGUAACACGUAGGUAAUCUACCCCAGAAUCUGGAAUAACCGGCCGAAAGGCUGGCUAAUACUGGAUAGAGCGACGGAAUCCGUAAUUGGGUUUUUCGGGAAAGGGAGCCUGUAAAAAGGCCUUCGUUCUGGGAUGAGCCUGCGUCCCGUCAGCGAGUUGGUGAGGUAAAAGCUUACCAAGGCAAUGACGGGUAGCUGGUCUGGGAGGACGAUCAGCCACACUGGGACUGAAACACGGUCCAGACUCCUACGGGAGGCAGCAGUGGGGAAUCAUGCGCAAUGGACGAAAGUCCGACGCAGCAACGCCGCGUGAGUGAAGAAGGGCUUCGGGUUGUAAAGCUCUGUCGAGUGGGACGAAAAUGCUUGGAGUUCACAGCUCCAGGAACUGACGGUACCACUAAAGGAAGCACCGGCUAACUCCGUG